AAAGAGAGAUUUCCUUGUACGCUGGGAUUCAUUGGCUGCAUGGUGGGUACUAUCUACGUUUCCAUGGUGCUUCACAGUAAUGUUCUUUCUCUGCUUUUCUCUGUAUUACAGG